GCUGACGAGUGGCGAACGGGUGAGUAAUGCAUCGGAACGUGCCCAAUCGUGGGGGAUAACGUAGCGAAAGUUACGCUAAUACCGCAUAAGCCCUGAGGGGGAAAGCAGGGGGAUCGCAAGACCUUGCGCGAAUGGAGCGGCCGAUGUCAGAUUAGCUAGUUGGUGGGGUAAAGGCCUACCAAGGCGACGAUCUGUAGCGGGUCUGAGAGGAUGAUCCGCCACACUGGGACUGAGACACGGCCCCAGACUCCUACGGGAGGCAGCAGUGGGGAAUUUUGGACAAUGGGCGCAAGCCUGAUCCAGCCAUGCCGCGUGCGGGACGAAGGCCUUCGGGUUGUAAACCGCUUUCAGCCGGAAAGAAAUCGCCAAGGCUAAUAUCCUUGGUGGAUGACGGUACCGGAAGAAGAAGCACCGGCUAACUACGUGCCAGCAGCCGCGGUAAUACGUAGGGUGCGAGCGUUAAUCGGAAUUACUGGGCGUAAAGGGUG
rnacentral:rRNA from 1 species